GUGGCACUCACUUUGAGUGGUCGCUCUAUGAUCAUUGGUGAUCAAAUGUGCUAGAAGUGCCAAGAAGAAGUGAAUUCAAGCAGUGAUUCUCCCAAACUUUUGUUUGUUUGUCAAUUCAUUACUGAUAGGAAAAGAUGACGACAAACAUGUGGAACUGUGUGGGAGUAGUUGGUCAUGUUGUAGUAGAGUAUGAUCUCGUUAUACUU
rnacentral:misc_RNA from 1 species